GCAGAAGCGGGGCUUAGACAUGCAGUCGAGCGGAAGGCCCUUCGGGGUACUCGAGCGGCGAACGGGUGAGUAACACGUGAGCAACCUGCCCUAGGCUUUGGGAUAACCCUCGGAAACGGGGGCUAAUACCGGAUACAACCUUUGGUCGCAUGACUGGGGGUGGAAAGUUUUUCGGCCUGGGAUGGGCUCGCGGCCUAUCAGCUUGUUGGUGGGGUGAUGGCCUACCAAGGCGACGACGGGUAGCCGGCCUGAGAGGGCGACCGGCCACACUGGGACUGAGACACGGCCCAGACUCCUACGGGAGGCAGCAGUGGGGAAUAUUGCACAAUGGGCGGAAGCCUGAUGCAGCGACGCCGCGUGAGGGAUGACGGCCUUCGGGUUGUAAACCUCUUUCAGCAGGGACGAAGCGCAAGUGACGGUACCUGCAGAAGAAGCGCCGGCCAACUACGUGCCAGCAGCCGCGGUAAGACGUAGGGCGCGAGCGUUGUCCGGAUUUAUUGGGCGUAAAGAGCUCGUAGGCGGCUUGUCGCGUCGACCGUGAAAACUUGGGGCUCAACCCCAAGCCUGCGGUCGAUACGGGCAGGCUAGAGUUCGGUAGGGGAGACUGGAAUUCCUGGUGUAGCGGUGAAAUGCGCAGAUAUCAGGAGGAACACCGGUGGCGAAGGCGGGUCUCUGGGCCGAUACUGACGCUGAGGACGAAAGCCUGGGGGGAAAAACCAAAAAAGACGCCCGGGGGGG
rnacentral:rRNA from 1 species